rnacentral:rRNA from 1 species
GUGGGGAAUAUUGGACAAUGGGCGAAAGCCUGAUCCAGCCAUGCCGCGUGUGUGAAGAAGGUCUUCGGAUUGUAAAGCACUUUAAGUUGGGAGGAAGGGCAGUAAGUUAAUACCUUGCUGUUUUGACGUUACCGACAGAAUAAGCACCGGCUAACUUCGUGCCAGCAGCCGCGGUAAUACGAAGGGUGCAAGCGUUAAUCGGAAUUACUGGGCGUAAAGCGCGCGUAGGUGGUUUUGUAAGUUGGAGGUGAAAUCCCCGGGCUCAACCUGGGAACUGCAGCAAAAACUGCAUGACUAGAGUACGGUAGAGGGUAGUGGAAUUUCCUGUGUAGCGGUGAAAUGCGUAGAUAUAGGAAGGAACACCAGUGGCGAAGGCGACUACCUGGACUGAUACUGACACUGAGGUGCGAAAGCGUAGGGAGCAAACAGGAUUAGAUACCCCGGUAGUCC